rnacentral:rRNA from 1 species
UACAGAGGUGGCAAGCGUUGUUCGGAAUUACUGGGCGUAAAGGGCGCGUAGGCGGUCUUGUAAGUUCCGUGUGAAAUCCCUCGGCUCAACUGAGGAACCGCACGGAAAACUGCUUGGCUUGAGUUCGGGAGAGGGAAGCGGAAUUCCGGGUGUAGCGGUGAAAUGCGUAGAUAUCCGGAGGAACACCGGUGGCGAAGGCGGCUUCCUGGACCGACACUGACGCUGAGGCGCGAAAGCUAGGGUAGCGAACAGG